rnacentral:rRNA from 1 species
GACGAACGCUGGCGGCGUGCUUAACACAUGCAAGUCGAACGGAAGGGCCCUGCUUUUGUGGGGUGCUCGAGUGGCGAACGGGUGCGUAACACGUGAGUAACCUGCCCUUGACUUUGGGAUAACUUCAGGAAACUGGGGCUAAUAUCGGAUAGCAGCUCCUGUUGCAUGGUGGGGGUUGGAAAGUUUCGGCGGUCGGGGAUGGAUUCGCGGCUUAUCAGCUUGUUGGUGGGGUAGUGGCUGACCAAGGCUUUGACGGGUAGCCGGCCUGAGAGGGUGACCGGCGACAUUGGGACUGAGGUACGGCCCAGACUCCUACGGGAGGCAACAGUGGGGAAUAUUGCACAAUGGGCGGAAGCCGGAGGCAGCAACGCCGCGUUCGUGAUGACCGCUUGCGGGGUGUGAACCGCUUUCGCCUGUGACGAAGCGUGAGUGACGGUAAUGGGUAAAGAAGCACCGGCUAACUACGUG